AGCACACUUACUAUUACAAAUACUAACCAAACAAAAUCUUGAAAUAUAAGCAUCAAUUCUGGUAUGGGCAACCACUAAAUUAAUAUGCACAGAAAACAUGCAAAUUUCACUAUCUUAAAUGCAAAUAAGGCAAUAACACUCUCCAAAUCUUGUGGAUUAACUAUUGCUAAAUAUUUUGGACAAUGAAUGUUAACAUUAUGGCACAAAAAUAUUCAUACAAAAAUUUUGUAUAUUUUCAACUUCAGACUGUGGAGAAAAACAAAUUUAUUGGCUUUUGAGGAACAUAAUCCACAAUCAUUUUCCUUUUUCCUCUAUCUUUUCCUGUUGCUUUUCCAUCAACAGUUUUGAAGCAUGUACAAAACUUACGGUAUACCAGCAUCAGGGGAAGCCUUAAUACUCGAUGAAACCAAUAACAAUGUGCUUGCAAAUCAAUAGAUAAAAAUGAAAUGCCAUAAAAAACAGUAAAAUUGUUUAAUAAUGUGGAGUAAUAAAAACUACACUAAACCCUACGAUUCAAAAAGCAUUCAAUUAAGAAAUUAGUUCACUAACAAAAGUACAUUAUUAGUCCAUUAAUCUUUGAAAACAAUUCUUGCCAGAGACAUCUUACAAAGUGCCUGGCUAAAAGAUUUCAUAGUAGACCUUCAUUAGAUAUUACAUCCAGUUAAUCAAGGAUUGUCCUGUAUUUGCAGUAAGAAAA
rnacentral:misc_RNA from 1 species